rnacentral:rRNA from 1 species
CCUACGGGAGGCAGCAGUGAGGAAUAUUGGUCAAUGGGCGCGAGCCUGAACCAGCCCAGUAGCGUGAAGGAUGACUGCCCUACGGGUUGUAAACUUCUUUUAUAAAGGCAUAAAGUGAGGCACGUGUGCCUUUUUGUAUGUACUUUAUGAAUAAGGAUCGGCUAACUCCGUGCCAGCAGCCGCGGUACUCCGGAGGAUCCGAGCGUUAUCCGGAUUUUUUGGGUUUAAAGGGAGCGUAGAUGGGUUGUUAAGUCAGUUGUGAAAGUUUGCGGCUCAAACGUAAAAUUGCAAUUGAUACUGGCAGUCUUGAGUACAGUUGAGGUAGGCGGAAUGCGUGGUGUAGCGGUGAAAUGCUUAGAUAUCACGAAGAACUCCGAUUGCGAAGGCAGCUUACUAAACUGCCACUGACAUUGAUGCUCGAAAGUGUGGGUAUCAAACAGGAUUAGAUACCCGUGUAGUC